UAUUCCCCAGCUGUAAUCAGGAUGCAAUUUCCCCUGCAGAAGUUCACCAACAGCAAGGACCAACAAGGAGAGACGUCUGUACUCAGCCACAGGAUCUGAGAGGAGCCUGGCCAGCACCACACAUGAUCAGAAAUAGAAAUCCUGAGCUCAGCCAGUAGUGACUGGAAGAGUUUUGGCUGGAUGGUGCACAGAAAGCUUUGUGUAGUCACAGAACAGCAACAUGGGAAGAUGUCCUGCUCUGAGCUGAAUGCCAAAACUGAGCCAGAAGGGCUGGGAAGAGGAGGAGCCACCCUCAAACCUGGCAUUG